AUACGGAGGGUGCAAGCGUUAUUCGGAAUCACUGGGCGUAAAGGGUGCGUAGGCGGUUUGAUAAGUCUGAUGUGAAAUCCUAUGGCUCAACCAUAGAACUGCAUUGGAAACUGUCAAACUAGAAUACUGAAGGGGCAGAUGGAAUUAGUGGUGUAGGGGUAAAAUCCGUAGAUAUCACUAGGAAUACCGAAAGCGAAAGCGAUCUGCUGGGAAGUUAUUGACGCUGAGGCACGAAAGCGUGGGGAGCAAACGGGAUUAGAAACCCCGGUAGUCC
rnacentral:rRNA from 1 species